GGAUAGCUCAGUCGGCAGAGCAUGAAACACUUAACCUCAGGGUCAUGGGUUUGAGCCUCACGUUGAGCA